CUGAUAAUUUUUCAGCCUCCUUUAUUUUUUAAGAUUUGCCAUGCAGAUCAAAAUCAGGUCUCUAGGCUUGGCAAUGCCUUUGCACACUGAGCCAUCUUGCUUGUCCACUGAACAACAAUUAUUUAACUUUUUUUGUUUUUUAAAAUGCUGGGCUGGAGAGAUGGCUCAGCGGUUAACAGCAGCUGCUCUUCAGGAUGCCCCGGGCUCUACUCUCAGCACUCAUAGUGGUUCACCAUCUGUAAUUCCAGUUCAUAGGGUGUGAUGCCUUCUCCUGGCCUCCGAGGACACCAGGUACUGAGAGGAAAAGAUGUGAAGAGAAGUUCAAAGCCAAGGAUGGUUUCUCCGCUGUGAAACUCUUGCACCUGGGAGGCAGAGGCAAGAGGUCAUCCUUGGGUCUCAAACCUGGGACAAACGGUGGAGGAGCCUGUUUAAGAUAUCAAAGCUGAUGUGCGCUCAGGUCUUCUCAGCAUCCCUCAGUCCCUACCAGUUACAGGGCCCUCUUGGCUGGCACACACUGUCCCCUUGUCUAAACUUCUCCAGCCCAGCGGCCAGGCUGCCUUCCCUCCAGAUGCCCUUCCCUGUAGAAUCCAGCCAUUGUAGAAUCCAGCCAUUUUGAUUAUAUCCUUUCUCUUUUGAACCUCCUGGCUGCUGCACCUGGUUCCACCCUCCACCCCUCACCUCUCCCCACAUGGCUCAGGGUCAUGACAUUCCCUCUGGACUCUCUCAAGAUGUCCCUGCCUCUGGCUAUGUUCUUCCAUUUACCUACAAUAAACUUUCUCCUCCACCAUACCUAGGAAUAGUUAUGUCCUUUCCUAUUUGUUGGUUAUUGUUCAAUUCAAA
rnacentral:lncRNA from 1 species